AAUUAUAAUGUGAUUAAAUGAUUUACUGCCAUACACCUCAGUCCACCAAUGAAUGAUAAUGCUCAUAUUUGACCGCAAUGACGAAAUCAGUGCGCCUUACAGUACUGCAUGGAACCAUACACUGGAAGCAGAGUAGAGGACACAAACCACCAGUAACUGGACACCUUGUCCACCAAUGAUAAUGCUUCAUACUUUACCACAAUGGCGCACCUUACAGUAGGUUACUGUACUGGAAUAGAAUAUUCUACACAACUAGAUCUAUAGAGUAACUGGACACCACCUUGACACACCUCACCCAUGCACAAAAAUCACAAUUAAUGCUGAUUCAUCUUGCAACUGCUAGAAUAUAGGCUAUAGUUCAUGCCAAGGUUUAGCUAAUCAAAGUUUAUAGCAUAUAUACACAGUCACUUAUAGCUACAGAGAUAUGGAUAUUAAGAAGAAGAGAAAACUGCCAAAGAAUUUAACUGAAGCAUCAAAACAGGCUAGGGCAUAUACCUUAUGUCAUCAAGCAAGAUUACUGAAGCUUGUGAAUUGUUCAAGACUAUUGAGCUGCCUGCAUCUUCAAAAGACAUAUCUGAGCAUGAUAUCGCUACGUACCUGGUGGGACGAUAUGGUAUCAACAAGAUAGCACGGAUAUGUUCCGUGCUUUCUGGAUUUCCGAAGACACUAAACACCUUCCAUGCAUGUAUCCAAGUACAUAGCAAAAGUCACAGAUAUGGAUGAUGCACACUUGCUAGCCUCUUUCAUUACGAUUCAUUGUCCACACCUAAUAGCCACAUUCACAUCUAUAACCAUCCAUCACCAACUCUGUUAGCUCCUCCAGUGUCUAACUGCUUUGAAUGCCAACGUCAAUUGACUUCAAAUCAUGACUGCAUGUGAAGUCACCCUUUAUAUACAUACACAUUAUCUGGUGUGAAGAAAUUGCCGAAAGUCACUCUUAGGGUCAACCAUGUGGUUUGACUUAUAACUAUGCGAUGUGGGGGAGAAAACAAACCUCUGGCUUUCAAUACUAUCAGAGCCAGCAAAAUUUAAUUGAAGUUUAUGACACCGUUUUCUUCACUCGGCCUCUCCUAGAAUUUCAGUGCUCCCUUGCGAACCACUCAUGGGUUUCCUUCCAGGGUUUUAGUGAAACAUACAAUGACACUCAUUCUCUCAACAAGGACCAAUUGCAAGCCAUGACAGAAAAGAUUGCAGCAGAUGCAUUCUACAAUGGAGAGAUUGAGAAUGAAAAUAGGUUUCUUGUAUACUAGCAACCAAUCCUACUUUUUCCCUAAGUCAUUUCACCUUCAAACGAGACAGUGACAGAGAGGAAACAAUGGAAAUGAUUGAAGCAAUUCGCUCAUGCAGUAUAUA